GCGAGUCACAGCUGCAUGCCAGGGCCAGUGCGGCAAGGCAGAAUGCAAGCAGGAGUGGGCAGAAUGGUAGUGCCAGCGGCGACACAGACGGCACAGGCAGUUCAGACAGCCUCAGCGGCCUGAACAGCCUCAAAUACAGUUUCUACGACUUCAGCUGCUUCGCGUAGAGCCCGCAAUAACAAUCGCUGUCUCCGAGGAGCGGGUGGAAGCCUUUUCUUUCUUAUGGUUACCUCUUCGUCUUGCUCAAAAGGUGUCGCAGACUACAUAUUCCUCGUUUAACGACCUACCUGUUUAACAACUGUUUGGACUUACCAUCGAGGCAUGCUGUUUGGAUUUACGACCUGCCACUUGGAUUUAUGGCCCGU
rnacentral:lncRNA from 1 species